UACGUAGGGGGCAAGGCGUUGUCCGGAUUCAUUGGGCGUAAAGGGUGCGUAGGCGGCGCGGUAAGUCGGGUGUGAAAUCUCGGAGCUUAACUCCGAAACUGCAUUCGAUACUGCCGUGCUUGAGGACUGGAGAGGAGACUGGAAUUUACGGUGUAGCAGUGAAAUGCGUAGAGAUCGUAAGGAAGACCAGUGGCGAAGGCGACUCUUUGGCCUGUAACUGACGCUGAGGCGCGAAAGCGUGGGGAGCAAACAGG
rnacentral:rRNA from 1 species